rnacentral:rRNA from 1 species
AUUGAACGCUGGCGGCAUGCCUUACACAUGCAAGUCGAACGGCAGCACGGGGCAACCUGGUGGCGAGUGGCGAACGGGUGAGUAAUGCAUCGGAACGUACCUUUCAGUGGGGGAUAACGUAGCGAAAGUUACGCUAAUACCGCAUAUUCUGUGAGCAGGAAAGCAGGGGAUCGCAAGACCUUGCGCUGAUUGAGCGGCCGAUGUCAGAUUAGCUAGUUGGUGAGGUAAAGGCUCACCAAGGCGACGAUCUGUAGCGGGUCUGAGAGGAUGAUCCGCCACACUGGUACUGAGACACGGUCCAGACUCCGACGGGAGGCAGCAGUGGGGAAUUUUGGACAAUGGGGGCAACCCUGAUCCAGCCAUGCCGCGUGAGUGAAGAAGGCCUUCGGGCUGUAAAGCUCUUUCGGCCGGGAAGAAAUCGCACGGGCUAAUACCCUGUGUGGAUGACGGUACCGGAAUAAGAAGCACCGGCUAACUACGUGCCAGCCGCCGCGGUAAGAC